rnacentral:rRNA from 1 species
UACGGAGGGGGCAAGCGUUGUUCGGAGUUACUGGGCGUAAAGCGCGCGUAGGCGGUGCGGUAAGUCAGGGGUUAAAGGCUGCAGCUCAACUGCAGUAAGGCCUUUGAUACUAUCGCGCUAGAGUACCAGAGAGGAUGGCGGAAUUCCCGGUGUAGCGGUGAAAUGCGUAGAUAUCGGGAGGAAGGCCGGUGGCGAAGGCGGCCCUCUGGGCCUGUACUGACGCUCAUGCACGAAAGCGUGGGGAGCAAACAGG